rnacentral:tRNA from 1 species
GCGGGUGUAGUUCAAUGGUCAGAACCUCAGCCUUCCAUGCUGAUGAUGGGAGUUCGAUUCUCCUCACCCGCU